ACAUGACAAGGCAUGCUGCCCCAUCCUACUACACCGAGCCUCCCAACUACACCGAGGCUCCUGCUGAUAACUACACCAAAACGGUCGAAUACUACAACGAAGCGGCAAAGUACUUCUCUGCCCCGAGCUACGCAACCAGAACUGAGGCAGCCAAUUAUUACGCAGUCCCGACUUACAACCCAGAAGCUGCUCUUUCGUACUAUGUUGAACAGAAAUACUACACUGAUGCUCCAGUCUACUACACCACGACCUACGCUUCACCUAGCUACAACACCACAGCCGCCAAGUACUACAUACCCGCAAGGCCUUAAGAGGUGGGUCAGGGUGAGAAAAAGUCGUAUAAAAGGAGGGAAAAGGUGAUAAAAAUCAGUCGAGUGAGCGUCUCCAUCACGGCAACAACUGCUGUGCACUAUUUGUCAUUAAACCGCAAUCACGAUUGCUUAAAAGGAGAUAAAAUGCGAAAUAAUUAGUCGAGUGAUUAUCUCCGACUUGACGACAGCUGCCGUGCACUAUUUGUCACCAACUGCAUUCUUCAUUGUAUGAAAUGUGUUUAGUAAACUGUGGCGUCGUUCUGCUGUUGAUUGUUGUCCUGAAAUACUACACCACCGAGGGUUCAGAAUACUACACUGCAACUUAUGCUGCCCAGAGCUGCUUAACCAAAGAUUCUUAGUAGUGCAUCGUGAUUCCAUUCGUUUUAAGCCAUAACCAUUUAGUAUUAAUUUGAUAUUGUUUGUUUUAGACCCAUCCACGGCAACGUCAACCUGCAGAAGGAAGAGGCCAGUUUGCAUUUCCUUCACUUUCGAAGGUCACGGAGAUCAUUACGUAAAACUGUCAAUGCGGUGGUGUAGAGGUUGGGUGAGAACGGGAAGUGUUUGCUUUGCUUUAUUAUCAAGCAAGUAUAAUAGCCGCAGGCCUUAAGAGAGGGGUCAGGGUGAGAAAAAGUUGUAUAAAUGGCAAGAGAAAAAACCACGGAACUCAGUCGAGUGAGCAUCUCCGACACGGUAACAACUGCAGCGCAAUAUGUGUCACCAACUACCUUCUUCAUCGCAUUACCAUUUCGCAAUCAU